rnacentral:rRNA from 1 species
UACAGAGGUGGCAAGCGUUGUUCGGAAUUACUGGGCGUAAAGGGCGCGUAGGCGGCCUACUAAGUCAGACGUGAAAUCCCCCGGCUUAACCUGGGAACUGCGUCUGAUACUGGAAGGCUUGAGGAUGGGAGAGGGAUGUAGAAUUCCAGGUGUAGCGGUGAAAUGCGUAGAUAUCAGGAGGAACACCGGUGGCGAAGGCGGAUUUCUGGACCAGUUCUGACACUGAUGAGCGAAAGCCAGGGGAGCAAACAGG